rnacentral:misc_RNA from 1 species
CCACACACGAUCCAAGAUCGACACUUUUUGUGAACUGUUAAUCUUUUUCUUCUUAGUUUGUCGUCUUCUGAAAACUGUAAAAGGUUUCGGAAAGUAUGAUAAAUCGAGAGAAAACAUUUUAAACACAUAAACUUUAAACAAAUAUGAACUAUACAAUGGAACUUAAAAUGUUAUAGCAAGUUCGUCUUACUAUAACGCUAGAUUAUUAAUUGUAAAAA